UACAGAGGAUGCAAGCGUUAUCCGGAAUGAUUGGGCGUAAAGCGUCUGUAGGUGGCUUUUCAAGUCCGCCGUCAAAUCCCAGGGCUCAACCCUGGACAGGCGGUGGAAACUACCAAGCUGGAGUACGGUAGGGGCAGAGGGAAUUUCCGGUGGAGCGGUGAAAUGCAUUGAGAUCAGAAAGAACACCAACGGUGAAAGCACUCAGCUGGGCCGACACUGACACUGAGAGACGAAAUCUAGGGGAGCAAAUGGG
rnacentral:rRNA from 1 species